AUUGAACGCUGGCGGAAUGCUUUACACAUGCAAGUCGAACGGCAGCACGGGGGCAGCCCUGGUGGCGAGUGGCGAACGGGUGAGUAAUACAUCGGAACGUGCCCGGUCGUGGGGGAUAACGUAGCGAAAGUUACGCUAAUACCGCAUACGAUCUGAGGAUGGAAGCGGGGGACCUUCGGGCCUCGCGCGAUCGGAGCGGCCGAUGUCAGAUUAGGUAGUUGGUGGGGUAAAGGCCUACCAAGCCGACGAUCUGUAGCUGGUCUGAGAGGACGACCAGCCACACUGGGACUGAGACACGGCCCAGACUCCUACGGGAGGCAGCAGUGGGGAAUUUUGGACAAUGGGCGCAAGCCUGAUCCAGCCAUUCCGCGUGCAGGACGAAGGCCUUCGGGUUGUAAACUGCUUUUGUACGGAGCGAAAAGGCUCUGGCUAAUACCUGGGGCUCAUGACGGUACCGUAAGAAUAAGCACCGGCUAACUACGUG
rnacentral:rRNA from 1 species